UAGGGGCUGGGGUAGGGGGAAUGGAGAGUUAUUGUGAAACGAUAUGGAGUUUCAGUUUAGAAAGAUGUAGACGUUCUGGAGGUGGAUGGUGGUGGUGGCUGUAUAACAAUGUGAAUGUGCUUGGUGCCACUCAACUGUGCCCUCGAAAAUAAUUAAAAUGGUCAAUUCCGUGUUGUGUGUAUUUUACCACAACUCUAAAAAUGAAAAAAAGAAUCAAGCUAUAAGUUGCUGCCUGGGCAAACCUGUAUUUUUCUCCACUGAUACUUUUUCCUCACUUUGAGGGAUUCUCUCUCAUUUCCGCAUCUUUCAUCCCAGCUUCCUCUCUCUGCCCUACUGCAUUUUGCACUCUUCCCCAUUUACAAAACUUUCUCUAAAGACAGACUCUGAUAUAAUCAAUGAUACCCUGUAGGUGUUUGAGCCAAUAUUAUAGCUUUCCCGGGUAUAUUUUCAUUUUAAGGAUUAUCUCUAAUGGAAAACACAAGGCUGUAUUUCGUGGUGAAGAUGGCCUUCUGCGCCCCCGAAAAUCUCUGUACCUUGGCCCCUGUGCCUCUGUAGAGGACUGAUGUACUGGUUAGGGAAUCAGUCAGGAAAAGGAAAGUGACUGUAGGUAUUCCAAACAGAGAGCGAUUUAAUACAGGGUGUGACGUUUCCAAGUUGUCGGCAGGGAAGGAGCAAAACCGGGUGUGGGAAAGUGGUGCUAGCCAGAGAUCCCGCACUGCAGUCAGUCCCUGUGGCCCUGUAGGAACCUACUUGCCUCUGAGCCCGAGGGACUCACAGCCCUGCGGCCCUUCUCAAGCCAGCAGGAACCAGCCGCUGCCCUGCAGGAGGUAUUAGACCGACAGCUGCCUCCCAGGCUGGAGCCAGAAAAAGAAUCUCUCUCUCUACCUCCUGCUCUCAUGCAAAAGCCUCCCAAGGGCAGCAUCUAAAUUGGAACUCUGCUGGCAGGGGGGUCUAAGAAAUAUAGUUUACAGGCUUCUAGCCCUUGUGGUUUGGGGAGCACAGAGAGGUAGGUGCUGAGCAUAGCAGGCAGCAUGUCACCCAGACCGGUGUUGUGGGGGGAGUUGAAACGAGCACCUCCGCACAGACAGGCUGAUCUCUGCAGGAUGAGACAUCCUCGGACUCGCAUGUCAGACAGGCCUGUCUUGCAGCUCUGGGAUCAUGAGCAAUAAUAGCAAGAACCAUUUACCGGGCCGUUCAGGAAGCAGAGCGUUCUGUGAAGGGCUUUAAACCUCACACCAACAAGCCUGUAGAUUCCAUAUAUAUGUUUCAGCAUAUGGUUCCACGGCUGUUUUGUUCUGGCAAAUGGACCCAGUCUUGGACUUUCCCUGAAGAGGGAAGUCAGCAGACUAGGAGGUAUUUCUGCUGCUGGGAAAUUUUUCCCAUUACAGCCUGCAUUAGUUUCCAAUGGUUGCUGUAAUAAAUUACCGCGAACUUGGUGACUUGAAACAAUGGAAGUGUAUUCUCUCACGGGUCUGGAGGCCAGCAGUCUGAAAUCGAGGCAUCAGCAGGGCUGAGCUCCCUCCAGAGGCCCUGGGGAACUGUUGGAUUUGAUUUAUCAGGAGACCCUGGCUGUGCCUCUGUGACUAUGAACCGUGGCCAAAUGGGAAGAGCCUGAUGGAUGUGGCCGGCUUGAUUAAUAACAGCCUGUCUCCAGAGCUCUGAGAAUGGCAAGUGACGCGUUGCCCUGAUUCCACUUCUAAUUCUCUGUUGUCACACACGGUGGUUUGGCCAAGCAGAGGCCCUGUGUCCACAGCACAGUGUCUAGCUGCAAGCCUUGGAUCUCCUGGGUCACCAAAACUGAUUCUCUGAGUGGAAAAGAAAAGCUUCUGGGGCAGUGGUACAUAUCCAGAGCAGAGGGCGUGUGCAUGGCUGCACUUCUCUCUCUGACGGGACGUUGUGAGCCAGACAGGUGCAGCAAAGACCCACCUGUGCAGGUAUCACCCCCCUUCCUGCAAUGCUGUUAUCUGGUGCUUUCCCAGGGAGAAAUUCAUCAGCAGGACAAUACGCCUAGGAAUGGAAGUGCCCAGAAGAAAGAUGUGUCUCACUUUCAGAUGUUCUGCUGACCUUCAUCCAUCCUCUGCAAAUAUGAAGUCAUUGUUUUGGAAGCCACGCACUUACCUCCUAUUCCGCAGCUCUCCAACUGCCCUAGCAUGAGGAGCUUUAAACAGAAAGAAGCUUGCGUUGUAUCACUGUUACCUACUAAAGUGAGGAUUUUCUCUCCCCACCUUCCUGUCUUGAACAUUGCUGUCGGGGGUUGGCAAUUAAUCUUGCAGCAGAGCAUUCGCUGAUUCCAUUCAAGGGGAAAGCAACAGUGAACAUGGCUUAUUCUUGCCAAGCCAGUGAUCUAUUUCUUAAGCAAUUCUUCUGGGACUGACAUCUGUCAGGAAUGGGGAAGCUGGGGUCCCGGGCUGUUCCUGAUCUCAGCCUAGCCCUGGAGUUGGAGAAAACCUCGCAGUUCCUAUUCGAAAUGAUACACUUGGACGGUGUUUCUCUUGGCUUCAACUAUAAAGGCUGGUGCCCAGAGCUAAUCUUUGG